AUUUCCCCAAUGGGUUCUCCGGAUUUCUGGAGACUUGUAGGGGUUGUGGGAUUUUUGAUGUGUCGUCUCCGGACGGACGGUGCAGGGUAGUCGAGUUAGACUUGGUGGAAUUCCGUCGAUAAGAGUUCCGUCGAGUCUGGUCGGCUGUGUGUUGGACGGUGCAGGGUAGGCUGCUUGGACAUGGUCGGUUCGAGGAUCGAUUCGAGGGCCGGCCUGUCGAUGAUGUGUGAUGUAUGCGGUCUAGGGUAGGCUGGUUUGUCUUGGUUCAAUUUGAUGUCGGCUCCCGUGCAGGCCAGAGUGAGGGGGGUCCAGGGUAGGUACAGGGUAGGCAGCUUAGAUUUGGUCGAUCUGGAGGUCUGGCGGAUCUGACACUGUCGAAACGAGAUGCGAGCGGUGUAGGGUAGGCUAGUUUCGCCCUCGCCAGGUUGCGAUUUGGACGAGAUAUGUGGUUUAGUGUGUGCUCUAGGGUAAGCAGAAUUCGAGUUUCGUCGCCGACAGUUUUCUGUGGGUGUAUGGUAGGUACAGGGUAGGCAAAUCUCUCUCCGGCCAGUACUUGUCUGGUGGUCGUGAGUCGAUUUUUUUGUUUU
rnacentral:misc_RNA from 1 species